UACGUAGGGUGCGAGCGUUAAUCGGAAUUACUGGGCGUAAAGCGUGCGCAGGCGGUUCGCUAAGACCGAUGUGAAAUCCCCGGGCUCAACCUGGGAAUGGCAUUUGGGACUGCAAGGCUGGAGUGCGGCAGAGGAGACUGGAAUUCCUGGUGUAGCAGUGAAAUGCGUAGAUAUCAGGAGGAACACCGAUGGCGAAGGCAGGUCUCUGGGCUGACACUGACGCUCAUGCACGAAAGCGUGGGGAGCAAACAGG
rnacentral:rRNA from 1 species